rnacentral:lncRNA from 1 species
CUGCUGGCUGCACUUCUCUGAGGAUCCUGUUAAAAUGCACUUCUGACCCCAGCAGGCAUGGUGGUAUGCGCUUGUAAUCCUCACACUUUGGAGGCUGAGGCAGGAGGAUUACUGUCAGUGCAAGGCCAGCCUGAACUAUGUAGUGAGACUUUGUCUCAAAAAAAAGAAGAGUGAGUCAUCUUGUCCUUACUUGGAACCCCCAGGUUGUUUUUUAAAAAGCAGACUUCGCACACAUAUUCGCAGAGGGCAGAUGUCUGGGCUGGGUCCUGGGAUUCAGUCACAGACCCCGUCCUCAUGGAGAGGGGCGACACAGGAACAGGACAUCGAGGAUCCCAAGGUGGUGCUGGGCACUGCUCAGAGAGGCAGAAUGCCAGGGAAGGACAAAGGACCCUGCUCUGCCCGGCCGUGCAUGCUGGGCCAGGGAUCGGAGACUGGCAAUACCAAGAGGAAACACACUUUUAAAAGAAAAUCUCCCUGGGGUCUUCAGACACCUGGAGCCUGUGACUUGGGCCCUGGGCCAAGCUUUGCACCUGUGAGCAGUGCUUCCUCCCACAGACUCUGCCCUGCAGGAAGCAGAGGCAGGAGUGGGCAGUGGAUCUCAGCUUCACACAGGGAAACGGUUUGCAGGUUUGCACUGCGACACAGCUGCUGGGUGGGUGACUGAUGGAAAGCAGCACACACACCCCAGAUCGCCCAUCCUGAAGACACCCAAGCCCCAUAAAUACACCAGGCUCGGGUCAUAAGGAGCCUCCCUCCCUUGAGGACCCACACUCUAUUUCUUUGAGCCCGUACUUUUAAGUUGCCACCUAAUAAAUCCCUUA